rnacentral:tRNA from 1 species
AGAUACUUAGCUUAAAUACCUAAAGCAAUUACUUUGAAAGUAAAAUAUAGAUUAAAAUUUAGUAUCUU